AUGGCAGAGGUGGAGUAGACACUGAAGCGACUUCAGAGCCAGAAGUGAAUGCAGGGAAUCAUCGUGGUGAACACAGAAGACAAUCCCAUCAAGAGCACCAUGGACAACCCUACCACUACCCAGUAGGCCAGCCUCAUGCACAGCUUCAUCCUGAAGGCACGGAGCACCGUGCAUGAAAUCGACCCCCAGAACGAUCUCACCUUCCUUCGAAUUCGCUCCAGGAAAAAUGAGAUUAUGGUUGCACCAGAUAAAGACUAUUUCCUGAUUGUGAUUCAGAAUCCAACCGAAUAGGCCACUCUCCUGACUCCCUGUGUCAUUCCUUAAUUUAAUGCCCCCCAAGAAUGUUAAUGCCGAUCGUGUUAGCAGACUGGCACGUAACAGUCACCUUGGAGCCCACUCAGACCAAUCCAGUGAGCAUGUGUGGGCUGGCAGCUCUUCCUCCCCAACCAAAGGAACCCCUGUGCUGUGCCAGCCUUCCCCAGACCUCCAGGAGGGCCCUCUCGCCUCACUUCCAGGUUUUGGAGCAAGAACUUGCAAGAAGCCCGCACCCAGCUUCCUUCUGACCUUCAGUUCACUUUGUUGCCUUUGGAGAAGGCUGUUUUUCUUUAACUAAAAAUAACCAAAAUGCU